CGACUGCAGAGCUCAUGGACAUCCAUCAGGAAGCCUCCAAUACCCAAACCAGAGACAGAGGAGCAAAAGGACCUCUCCUUGUGUGAUGCUGGCUAACAUCCCACUGGCCAAAACAGGUUACAUGUUAGGUGCAAAGGGGUAGUUGCCUAAUCCAUAUCCAUGUGGAUAGCUCUUUACUUAGGAAACCUUGAUGGCUUAUUUGGAUGACAAAGGUUCCCUUUUGGCGAUACAUAGCCAUGCGAGACAACAUAGCCAUGAAACAAACCAAGUCCACCAGUGGCUUCCUAGGAACACAUUUGCUUUCCUGAUAAAAGAGGACAGAUGCAGUUGCAGAAGUACCUGUGCCUCUUUUUCUUUUUCUUCUUCUUUUUCUUUUUUAAUCUCUUAAAUGCAGAUAUAAGAACUGGUACUGAAGCAGCCAUCUUGUGACCAUAAGGAAGAAGCCAAGAACAUCAGAACCAGUGGCCUAGCCAUUGCACAGUCAUCUAAACACACCUCUGGACUUGUU
rnacentral:lncRNA from 10 species